rnacentral:rRNA from 1 species
UACAGAGGUCCCAAGCGUUGUUCGGAUUCACUGGGCGUAAAGGGUGCGUAGGUGGUGAGGCAAGUCGGAUGUGAAAUCUCCAAGCUCAACUUGGAAAUGGCAUUGGAAACUACCUUGCUGGAGGUUUGGAGGGGGGACUGGAAUACUUGGUGUAGCAGUGAAAUGCGUAGAUAUCAAGUGGAACACCAGUGGCGAAGGCGAGUCCCUGGACAACACCUGACACUGAGGCACGAAAGCUAGGGGAGCAAACAGG